rnacentral:rRNA from 1 species
UACAGAGGGUGCAAGCGUUGUUCGGAAUUAUUGGGCGUAAAGCGCGUGUAGGCGGUGGCGUAUGUCGGGUGUGAAAGCCCUCGGCUCAACCGAGGAAGUGCGCCCGAAACUACGUCGCUAGAGUGCCGGAGAGGGUGGCGGAAUUCCGGGUGUAGAGGUGAAAUUCGUAGAUAUCCGGAGGAACACCAGUGGCGAAGGCGGCCACCUGGACGGACACUGACGCUGAGACGCGAAAGCGUGGGGAGCAAAC